GACGAACGCUGGCGGCGUGCUUAACACAUGCCAGUCGAACGGAAAGGCCCUGCUUUUGUGGGGUGCUCGAGUGGCGAACGGGUGAGUAACACGUGAGUAACCUGCCCUUGACUUUGGGAUAACUUCAGGAAACUGGGGCUAAUACCGGAUAGGAGCUCCUGCUGCAUGGUGGGGGUUGGAAAGUUUCGGCGGUUGGGGAUGGACUCGCGGCUUAUCAGCUUGUUGGUGGGGUAGUGGCUUACCAAGGCUUUGACGGGUAGCCGGCCUGUGAGGGUGACCGGACACGUGCGGGCGGCAGUGCAGCCGCGGGUGGGGCGGGGGGCGGGAGGGUGAAGUAGUGCACGGCGGGAGGGAGGCGGGCGCAGGCGCGGGGCGGGUGGGGGGCAGGCUUGUGGGUUUCAACCCCCUGUGGCGUGGGAGGAGGGGGGGGGGGCGGUAAGUGGAAAAGAGGCACCUGCUAACAACGUGCCGGCAGACGGGUGAAUAAACGGAAGCGAAAGCGUCUGAAC
rnacentral:rRNA from 1 species